UAGACAGUUGAUAUGCCAGGCCAACAACAUGUCGAUGUAACAAAGCAAGGGUAAUUAUAAAGUUUAGUCUUUGGUUCCCCUCCAAAAAAAUAUGCAAAAACCCAUGGCAGGGAGUGGAGCAAAGAUGUCACUUUGCACAAUUAUGACUCACUAAACUGAGAGUACAAUGGAGCUAAGAAAAUGCCCUGACCACUCCAGAUAUACUGAUAUACUAAUAAAGUCUUCUGAACAGGGAAGGUGACAGUCCUAACCUACACUGAGCUGGCUAGAAUGUGUUCCCUUUUGCAUACUGCACUAUGAAAAGAAAUCUAAAAACAUCAAAGUUCAAGCAGAGGAGAACUUCCGUGUUGAUGGUUGAAUCAAUGGAUGUGGAACCCACAGAUACAGAGGCCCAACUCUAUUCAUCCUCUGAGACUCAGCUCAAAUAUCACCUAUUCAUGGAAGCCUUGCAGAAUCCUUCCUGUGAAAUGUUAUAUAUCAUUGAUCUUUUAAUGUGCUUCUUUUAUACCUUU